GUCCAGGUCAGUUUGGUCCCAGGGGGCCACAAGGGCCUAGUGGGGGACAGGGUGCUCUGGGCAGACCAGGUGGGGCUGGACAACCAGGGGUAAAUGGAGAGAAGGGGGAGGAUGGAGAAUCGGGAGACCCAGGACCCGUUGGUGUAUCAGGAGGCAGCGGGGAUAUAGGUGACCAGGGGGAGAAGGGGGGGGA